AGUGAACGCUGGCGGUAGGCCUAACACAUGCAAGUCGAACGGCAGCACAGGAGAGCUUGCUCUCUGGGUGGCGAGUGGCGGACGGGUGUGGAAUACAUCGGAAUCUACUCUGUCGUGGGGGAUAACGUAGGGAAACUUACGCUAAUACCGCAUACGACCUACGGGUGAAAGCAGGGGACCUUCGGGCCUUGCGCGAUUGAAUGAGCCGAUGUCGGAUUAGCUAGUUGGCGGGGUAAAGGCCCACCAAGGCGACGAUCCGUAGCUGGUCUGAGAGGAUGAUCAGCCACACUGGAACUGAGACACGGUCCAGGCUCCUACGGGAGGCAGCAGUGGGGAAUAUUGGACAAUGGGCGCAAGCCUGAUCCAGCCAUACCGCGUGGGUGAAGAAGGCCUUCGGGUUGUAAAGCCCUUUUGUUGGGAAAGAAAUCCAGCUGGCUAAUACCCGGUUGGGAUGACGGUACCCAAAGAAUAAGCACCGGCUAACUUCGUGCCAGCCGCCGCAGUAA
rnacentral:rRNA from 1 species